rnacentral:rRNA from 1 species
CCUACGGGAGGCAGCAGUGAGGAAUUUUGCGCAAUGGGCGAAAGCCUGACGCAGCGACGCCACGUGAGCGAUGAAGUCUCUAGGGAUGUAAAGCUCUGUCAAGAGGAACGAUUAUGACGGUACCUCUAAAGGAAGCCCCGGCUAACUACGUGCCAGCAGCCGCGGUAAUACGUAGGGGGCAAGCGUUAUCCGGAUUUAUUGGGCAUAAAGAGCGCGUAGGCGGUAUUUUAAGUCAGAUGUUAAAAGCUUCAGCUCAACUGAAGUCCGCAUUUGAAACUGGAGUACUAGAGUUUAGUAGAGGAAAGCGGAACUCACGGUGUAGCGGUGAAAUGCGUAGAUAUCGUGAGGAACACCAGUUGCGAAGGCGGCUUUCUGGACUAAUACUGACGCUGAGGUGCGAAAGCGUGGGGAGCGAACGGGAUUAGAUACCCCGGUAGUCCACGCCGUAAACGUUGUUCACUAGGUGUUGGAGGUAUCGACCCCUUCAGUGCCACAGAUAAUUCGUUAAGUGAACCGCCUGGGAAGUACGACCGCAAGGUUAAAACUCAAAGGAAUUGACGG